UAGGGAAUAUUGCUCAAUGGGCGAAAGCCUGAAGCAGCAACGCCGCGUGGAGGAUGAAGGUCUUCGGAUUGUAAACUCCUUUUCUAAGAGAAGAUUAUGACGGUAUCUUAGGAAUAAGCACCGGCUAACUCCGUGCCAGCAGCCGCGGUAAUACGGAGGGUGCAAGCGUUACUCGGAAUCACUGGGCGUAAAGAGCACGUAGGCGGCCUUGCAAGUCAGAUGUGAAAUCCAACGGCUUAACCGUUGAACUGCAUUUGAAACUGCAAGGCUAGAGUAUGGGAGAGGUAGGUGGAAUUCUCGGUGUAGGGGUAAAAUCCGUAGAGAUCGAGAGGAAUACUCAUUGCGAAGGCGACCUGCUGGAACAUUACUGACGCUGAGGUGCGAAAGCGUGGGGAGCAAACAGG
rnacentral:rRNA from 1 species